rnacentral:lncRNA from 1 species
GGAUUUUUGUCCCCGCCGCCACGGCUCUGAGGGCGGGAGCGGCAGACUCGGCUGCCAGCUCUACUGGCGUCCUGGCAAGGGCAGCGCUGAGGGGUGCUCCUGGUCCAGCUCUCCUGGCUCAGGGAUUCCUUGCCUAGGCGCCGGCGCCCCAGGCUCCUUGCCUAGGCCCCUGUGGCCUGCAUAGAGUGGCGCUGCCUGUGGAGGCGAUGGGAGAGAAGAAGGAGGGCGGUGGUGGGGGUGAUGCGGCGGCCACGGAGGGUGGCACAGGGGCUGCGGCCAGCCGGGCGCUGCAGCAGUGCGGGCAGCUCCAGAAGCUCAUCGUCAUCUUCAUUGGCAGCCUGUGCGGGCUGUGCACCAAGUGCGCUGUGUCCAACGACCUCACCCAGCAGGAGAUACAGACCCCGGAGGUGAGGAAACCGAAGGCCUGAGGGAGAAAUGACUUGCCAGGAACCCCUGUUAAGGAAAAUUAACAAAGUGUGGUUAUUAAAGAAGAACUGAGUUGGGAGUCAGACCUGGAGGCCCGCACCCGUGGUUAAGACAUUAUACCACCUUGAGUCUGGCCUGUUGACUGAGGAUACAACAGAGAAAUGCAUAAUGUCCAGUCAAUUUAUUAAAGUUCCAAAGUCGGUCGCGCGCAGUGGCUCACGCCUGUAAUCUCAACACUUCGGGAGGCCGAGGCGUGUGGAUCACGAGAUUUCAAUAUGAUUAAAGCAGGAGUGAGGACACAGCGAAAGUGAGACAAGGAAAAGAGAACAAAAUAAAACAGGAAAGACAGAAAAGCCAAUACCACACGUGUUAAGAGUUUCAAGGAAAAUAUGUUGGGAGUUCCUGGCAUAGAGAAUGUCACAAAGACAUGUUUUCAAUAGUAGUGCUAUCCCGAGGGCAGAGAAGACCCAGAGAAAGCCCAAGUGGCUGCUGGAACAAAAUCAGACACCGUGCCACCUGUCCACACUCCUUGGCUCUGCCAUCAUGCUGAAGAUCGCUUUAAAGGACUGGCUUCCCUCCCCCCAAAAUUAAAAGAGCACAGACUGAGAAACUGAAUGUGGGAGACAGCAGUGGAUUAUGCUGUUCUCAGGGGUCACCUCAGGUUUGGAAGCAUUCUUUCAAAUUAACCCAUCUCAGGCCAUCUGCAGAGAAGAAAGGUGGUACCUAACUUUUUUUCUUGUCGGCAUUUGGUAGGGGUGUUUUAUUGACCAAAUAUGUUCCCACAACCUAGUUUUUUGUGACUAACUAAAUAUAGUAGAGUUUUAAAUUUUAUCAUCAAAAUCUAUAGACAAUUUUUGAUGAAAAUAGACUCCAUCUCUAUGUCCUGCUUUUCUUCUUCUUAUUAAUUACAUUGCUGUAUAAAAGAACAAGACUUCAGCAUCAAGAAUAUCUUGUCUCUUGGCAUUGAAUUUAUACAAGGUGCUCUUUCUUUAAUGCUGUCUCAAAGGACAUAUUUUUACUCAUUAAAAAGGAAGAUCGGAAUCUAGUUGUAUGCACUGCUCCAACAUAUUAAUAAUUAAAAUUAGGAGGUAAAUGUGGUCAAAGCUAUAGAAAGACUGAGAUGUCAUUUAUAUGGAUUACUCUAUAGCACUCUACAAACAGAAAUUGUUAAAUAAUAGUUUAUAUAAAUAUUUUGUAGCAUUUCAAAUAUUUGAGUGCUUGAAGUUUCUCCUCUUCUAUAGUUCAGAUUAUCAAUUUGAAGACUUACUCCGCUAGUUAAUAUGUUUUUAGUCUCGUUUGAGUAUUAUAUAAAAGCAAUUUUCAGUUAAAUGUGUUCCGCUUACAUAAAACGUUACAAAUUAUUGAGGAUUUAAUUACUUAUUCAUGUUCCUGUAAUGUCUUUAGAAGAUUUUCUUAUUAUUACCUAUCAAUAUAUGUAUGCUUUGUCAAAGAAAAAUCAAACAUAUAUAUCAUUGAAAUUGAAACUUUUUAAAAGUACUUA